UUUAUUAUUUAUUUUGAGAUAGAGUCCAACUCUGCAGCCCAGGCUGGAGUGCCGUGGCAUGAUCUUGGCUCACUGUAACCUCCCCGUCUUGGACUCAAGAGAUUCUCAUGCCUUAGCCUCUCCAGUAGCUGGGACUACAGGUGUGCACCACCAUAACUGGCGAUGUUUUUGUAUAUUUAGUAGAGAUGGGGUUUCACCAUGUUGGCCAGGCUGGUUUUAAACCCCUGGCCUCAAGUGAUCCAUCUCAGCCUCCCAAUGUAUCAGCAUCACAGGAGUGAGCCACGGCGCCCAGCCAGGAAUGUGACCUUAUUUAGAAAUAGUGUGGUUAAGGAUGUAAUUAGUUGACCAGGCGUGGUGGCUUAUGCCUGUAAGCCCAGUUUGGGAGGCUGAGGCAAGCAGAUCACCUGAGAUCAGGAGUUCAAGACCAGCCUGAUCAACGUAGUGAAACCCCAUCUCUACUAAAAAUACAGAAGUUAAGCAGGUAAGGUGGUGGGUGCCUCAAUCUCAGCUACCCAGGAGGCUGAGGCAGGAAAAUUGCUUGAACCUGGGAGGUGGAGGUUGCAGUGAGCUGAGAUUGUCACUGAACUCCAGCCUGGGUGACAGAGUGAGGCUAAAAAAAGGAUGUGAUUAGGUAAGAUGAGGUCACACUGCAUGGGUGGGUCCCUAAUUCAAGAUGACUGGUGUCUUUUAAGAAGAAGAAAAGACACAGAGGGAAGUUGGGGAAGAGGACCAGGUUAAAAUACAGGCAGAGAGUGGAGUGAUAUGAGGAGCCAGGGAAUGCCUGGGGCAACCAGGAGCUGGAGGAGGCAGGAAGCAUCCUCUGCAGAGGCCUCGGAGAAAGCACAACCUUGCCAACACCUCGACUGCAGACUUCUGGCCUGCAGACUGCCAUCGUGUGCUGGGUGGAGGAUAAGCUGAGGAAGUAUAAACAGAAGACAAACCAUCCUCAGUGCAGGCGGGAGGCAGAGUCUAUCAGUCACAAGCCAAGAAGAGAAUCAGCGUAGAGACUUACACCUGGAACAACAGAUCACUGCCCCCAGUGCUCCACAGGGGACGAGGCUACCUGGCUCCAGCUCCGGGCCGUCUGUCUGGCUACGAUUUACAUGGUAGGAAGGCCCCUGGGAGCCUGGCCAGCCCCUGGCUACCUCUAGCUUCUGCUCCCUUUCUUUGAGCUCUACAAUCUGAAAGCAUCUGUCAGCAGCGCGGGCUGACAGCCUUUGCACCUCUGGCAUGAACACAGGCGGCUGAGUUUGGGAAGACGGAAGUCAAAUAAAUAGCGCAGCAGACAGGCGCUGGUGUGGUGGGUUCACAAAGCAGAAAGAGACGGGCCCGGACAGUCCCCCAGCGCGAACUCCUUCCCGAAGCCGCUGCAUCCGACAGGAACAUGUGGAUGUCAUUUUACCGCCUGAGUGUUUCCCCAGGGAAGGCAAACAUGAUCAACAAUUUUCUCAACUCAUGUUUCCCUCCCAGUGCUAAGUAUGCUUUUGCAUUUCACACGGGGACUGCUCUGGUCUCAAGCCCCACGGAAGAAGCCUCCUAUGAGGCCAGCCCCAGAGCCUUGAA